rnacentral:rRNA from 1 species
CUGGGCUUGACAUGCGCCUGCACCAGCGGGAGACCGUUGUCCGGGCAACCGGCGGGCGCACAGGUGCUGCAUGGCUGUCGUCAGCUCGUGCCGUGAGGUGUUGGGUUAAGUCCCCUAACGAGCGCAACCCCUGGGAUCCGUUACGUGGGUGUCGGGUCCGACUGCCGCGCGCAACGCGGAGGAAGGUGGGGAUGAUGUCAAGUCAGCACGGCCCUUACGUCCAGGGCGACACACACACUACAAUGGCCGGUACAACGAGUCGCCAAGCCGCGAGGCGGAGCUAAUCUCAGCAAAGCCGGUCUCAGUUCGGAUGGCAGGCUGCAACUCGCCUGCCUGAAGCUGGAGUUGCUAGUAACCGCGGGUCAGCAUACCGCGGUGAAUACGUUCCC